GAGAAAUGAUGAAUUGUCAUUGGUCCGUGUUUCUGAAUAAAUGUGACGAUAAACAAUGACGUAAAUCUGAUUAG